rnacentral:lncRNA from 1 species
GUGGCCUGAGUCAGGGCCAUGUGCCCCAGGAUGAGAUGAGGCCUUUGUAUCUCCUCACAUUUGUUUCCUAGGGUCUCUUUUGGGGUCUGGGCUGCUUGACACCUCGUGACACCUCUGCCCUGCUGCAGGCAUUCUAGACCUUUCGGGGGUGGGUUGGGGCAGGAGUGGAGGUGAAGGAAUAUAAGUGAGUGUGGGUUCACGGGCGGCAUCGCCUACCUGAGCUAUCUCCAGCCCCCACACCUAUUUUCCCAUCUGCCAACAUUCAAGAAAUGGACACUGUGGGAGAGGCUACCAUGCAUCCAUACAUAAAUCCUUGGUGAUUUGAUGGGAACACUUUCCCCUUACCCCAGGGUUCAAGGAAUUAUAGAUUAACAUGGAGACUUUGGAUUUUCCAAGUUAUUUGGGCCAGGACCUGAAGAGAGCUGAGAGUCGAAGGAUCAACUGAUUGGCG